AGCAGCCGCGGUAAUUCCAGCUCCAAUAGCGUAUAUUAAAGUUGUUGCAGUUAAAAAGCUCGUAGUUGAAUUUCGGGAUUAGCAGGUCGGUCGUGCCACUGGUACGUACUGGUCUUGCUGAUUCCUCCCUCUUGACGAGCCGUAAUGCCAUUAAUUUGGUGUUGCGGGGAAUCAGGACUGUUACUUUGAAAAAAUUAGAGUGUUUAAAGCAGGCAUGCGCUUGAAUACAUUAGCAUGGAAUAAUGAAAUAGGACGUUCGAUCUUAUUUUGUUGGUUUCUAAGAUUGACGUAAUGAUUAAUAGGGAUAGUUGGGGGCAUUAGUAUUCAAUUGUCAGAGGUGAAAUUCUUGGAUUUAUUGAAGACUAACUACUGCGAAAGCAUUUGCCAAGGAUGUUUUCAUUAAUCAAGAACGAAAGUUAGGGGAUCGAAGACGAUCAGAUACCGUCGUAGUCUUAACCAUAAACUAUGCCGACUAGGGAUCGGAUGAUGUUAAUUUUUUAAUGACUCAUUCGGCGCCUUACG
rnacentral:rRNA from 1 species